AUUGAACGCUGGCGGCAUGCCUUACACAUGCAAGUCGAACGGUAACGGGCCUUCGGGUGCCGACGAGUGGCGAACGGGUGAGUAAUGUAUCGGAACGUGCCUUUCAGUGGGGGAUAACGUAGCAAAAGUUACGCUAAUACCGCAUAUUUUGUGAGCAGGAAAGCAGGGGAUCGCAAGACCUUGCGCUGAUUGAGCGGCCGAUAUCAGAUUAGCUAGUUGGUGAGGUAAAGGCUCAACAAGGCGACGAUCUGUAGCGGGUCUGAGAGGAUGAUCCGCCACACUGGGACUGAGCCACGUCCCAGGCUCCUACGGGAGGCAGCAGUGGGGAAUUUUGGACAAUGGGGGCAACCCUGAUCCAGCCAUGCCGCGUGAGUGAAGAAGGCCUUCGGGUUGUAAAGCUCUUUCGGCCGGGAAGAAAUCGCACAGGCUAAUACCUUGUGUGGAUGACGGUACCGGAAUAAGAAGCACCGGCUAACUACGUGCCAGCAGCCGCGGUAACAC
rnacentral:rRNA from 1 species